rnacentral:rRNA from 1 species
AGUGAACGCUGGCGGCAGGCCUAACACAUGCAAGUCGAACGGCAGCACAAGAGAGCUUGCUCUCUGGGUGGCGAGUGGCGGACGGGUGAGGAAUGCAUCGGAAUCUGCCCAUUUGUGGGGGAUAACCUCGGGAAACCGGGACUAAUACCGCAUACGACCUACGGGUGAAAGCAGGGGAUCUUCGGACCUUGCGCAGAUGGAUGAGCCGAUGCCGGAUUAGCUAGUUGGAGGGGUAGAGGCCCACCAAGGCGACGAUCCGUAGCUGGUCUGAGAGGAUGAUCAGCCACACUGGGACUGAGACACGGCCCAGACUCCUACGGGAGGCAGCAGUGGGGAAUAUUGGACAAUGGGCGCAAGCCUGAUCCAGCCAUGCCGCGUGUGUGAAGAAGGCCUUCGGGUUGUAAAGCACUUUUGUUGGGAAAGAAAAGCAGCCGGUUAAUACCCGGUUGUCAUGACGGUACCCAAAGAAUAAGCACCGGCUAACUUCGUG